rnacentral:rRNA from 1 species
UGCCAGCAGCCGCGGUAAUACGAAGGGGGCAAGCGUUGUUCGGAUUUACUGGGCGUAAAGAGCACGUAGGCGGAUUGUUAAGUUAGGGGUGAAAUCCCAAGGCUCAACCUUGGAACUGCCUCUGAUACUGGCAAUCUUGAGAUCGAGAGAGGAGUGUGGAACUCCGAGUGUAGAGGUGAAAUUCGUAGAUAUUCGGAAGAACACCAGAGGCGAAGGCGGCACUCUGGCUCGAUACUGACGCUGAGGUGCGAAAGCGUGGGGAGCAAACAGGAUUAGAUA